rnacentral:rRNA from 1 species
CCGGCACGGGUGAGUAACACGUAUGCAAUCCACCUGUAACAGGGGGAGUAACCCGGAGAAAUCCGGACUAAUACCCCAUAAUAUGGGCGCUCCGCAUGGAGAGCCCAUUAAAGAGAGCAAUUUUGGUUACAGACGAGCAUGCGCUCCAUUAGCCAGUUGGCGGGGUAACGGCCCACCAAAGCGACGAUGGAUAGGGGUUCUGAGAGGAAGGUCCCCCACACUGGAACUGAGACACGGUCCAA